rnacentral:miRNA from 10 species
GAGGUGGGAGGAUUGCUUGAGCCUGGGAGGUCGAGGCUGCAGUGAGUUGAGAUUGUGCCACUGCACUCCAGCCUGAGUGACAGAGCAAGACACUGUCUC